GUGUGCCUGGCUCCUCGUAUGCCAUUUGCAGUGGUCACCGUUUGGCGGUGGCUGUUGUGUAUGGCAUGGGAGAAGCCAUGCAUGC
rnacentral:pre_miRNA from 1 species